rnacentral:rRNA from 1 species
GGGCCCGCACAAGCGGUGGAGCAUGUGGUUUAAUUCGAUGAUACGCGAGGAACCUUACCAGGGCUUAAAUGUAACGGGACAGAUCUAGAGAUAGAUCCUUCUUCGGACUCAUUACAAGGUGCUGCAUGGUUGUCGUCAGCUCGUGCCGUGAGGUGUCAGGUUAAGUCCUAUAACGAGCGCAACCCCAUCGUUAGUUGCCAACGAGUAAUGUCGGGAACUCUAACGAAACUGCCGGUGUAAACCGAGAGGAAGGUGGGGAUGACGUCAAAUCAUCACGGCCCUUACGUUCUGGCUACACACGUGCUACAAUGGUCGGUACAGAAAGCAGCCACUAUGCGAAUAGGAG